rnacentral:lncRNA from 1 species
AACACCAAACACCUCUGUCUCUGCCGUGAGCACGCCGCUGGCCGCGGAGGCGAUGGUGCUUCACGGAGGGAUUCCCCCCUUCUCUCUCUCUCUCUUGCCCGCAGCCACACGACCAGCUGCCACGUGUGUCCCACCUGCGAAGAAGGGCUCCACGCCGCCCUGGCCCCCCGCGCCGAGCCUGCGCCCCACGGCUGUGCCACCUGCGAGGAGUGGUUGGGUGCCCAGCCCCACGCACCCCGCUCCUACUCCGUCCCCAGCAUCGGCAGCGGGGACGGCCGGAGCCCUGCAGGGACCAGCUCUCCUCCCAAAACUGCAGAUGUGCUGAUGGGUGAGGAUGCAGGAGAAGCUGUUCCAGAGCAGAGCGAUGCCAAGCAACCCAUGGACCAUGAAAGCAGCCACCGCUGCCCCGUCUGCGAGGACUGGCUGCGCGCACACCUCAGCCCCUGGGAAAGGGGUCCUGCAGCGCCCGGGGAGCAGCUGGGGGGUCCCCACCAGCAGGACGAGGGGUGCGUACGGCGCGGCCGGGGCAGGCAGCUCCCCACAGCAGCGGGUACCACAGCCCAGCCCCCUCAAAACCAGGAUUUAAUCGCUUAAAUGAUGCAGGGGGGGGAGUACAUAAUGUUGGUUGCGCUUGCUCGUAGCGCGGUGUGGGGGUAAAGCGGGGUGCCUGCUCGCAAAGAGAGGGGUGAAACUGGUGGGAGGGUUAUUUGGGCACCGCUGGUGUGGUUUCCCCAGGCGUCUCUGAAGCAGCUUGUGCUCCUCAGCCCUCCCCACUUGGCUCUGCCUCCUGUCUUCUUUGAUGGAGCUCUGGUUUUAAUUGAGCAGCAAAGAGCCUGGUGCUGUAUGAGCCCCAGCAGCGCGGACCUUCUGUUCACGUCGCUGCUUUUUCCGCCUCUAGGCGUUGGUUUGGGGCAGAGCAGGGACGAGGUGAGACAAGUGACGCUGGACGCUCACUGAUCUUUUGACACCUGCCUGCCUUGUGCUCUCUCAGGCCCACAGAACUUCCUUAACACAGUCAUCAUUGGCAGAGGCAAAUUCAAAUAAAUAUUUUGUUAAAGUAAACGAGGUCUGAGGU